rnacentral:rRNA from 1 species
GGACGAACGCUGGCGGCGUGCUUAACACAUGCAAGUCGAACGAGAGGACAUGGGAAGCUUGCUUCCUAUGAAAUCGAGUGGCAAACGGGUGAGUAACGCGUAAACAACCUGCCCUUCGGAUGGGGAUAACAGCCGGAAACGGCUGCUAAUACCGAAUACGAUCUUUUCGUCGCAUGACGGAAAGAAGAAAGGAUGGCCUCUAUACAAAGCUAUCGCCGAAGGAGGGGUUUGCGUCUGAUUAGCUGGUUGGAGGGGUAACGGCCCAACAAGGCGAUGAUCAGUAGCCGGUCUGAGAGGAUGAACGGCCACAUUGGGACUGAGACACGGUCCAGACUCCUACGGGAGGCAGCAGUGGGGAAUCUUCCGCAAUGGACGAAAGUCUGACGGAGCAACGCCGCGUGAGUGAAGACGGCCUUCGGGUUGUAAAGCUCUGUGAUUCGGGACGAAAGGCCAUAUGUGAAUAAUAUAUGGAAAUGACGGUACCGAAAAAGCAAGCCACGGCUAACUACGUGCCAGCAGCCGCGGUAAUACGUAGGUGGCAAGCGUUGUCCGGAAUUAUUGGGCGUAAAGCGCGCGCAGGCGGUCUCUUAAGUCCAUCUUAGAAGUGCGGGGCUUAACCCCGUGAUGGGAUGGAAACUGGGAGACUGGAGUAUCGGAGAGGAAAGUGGAAUUCCUAGUGUAGCGGUGAAAUGCGUAGAUAUUAGGAGGAACACCGGUGGCGAAAGCGGCUUUCUGGACGACAACUGACGCUGAGGCGCGAAAGCGUGGGGAGCAAACAGGAUUAGAUACCCUGGUAGUCCACGCCGUAAACGAUGGAUACUAGGUGUAGGAGGUAUCGACUCCUUUCUGUGCCGUAGUUAACGCUAUAAGUAUCCCGCCUGGG